rnacentral:rRNA from 1 species
CAUGAAGCCCCCCUCAAGAUGAGAUUUCCCAUUCCGCAAGGAAGUAAGAUCCCUGAAAGAUGAUCAGGUUGAUAGGUCUGAGGUGGAAGUGUGGCGACACAUGGAGCUGACAGAUACUAAUCGAUCGAGGACUUAACCAAUUU